rnacentral:rRNA from 1 species
GAUGAACGCUGGCGGCGUGCUUAACACAUGCAAGUCGAACGGUGAAGGCGGAGCUUGCUCUGCUGGAUCAGUGGCGAACGGGUGAGUAACACGUGAGCAAUCUGCCCCUGACUCUGGGAUAAGCGCUGGAAACGGCGUCUAAUACUGGAUACGAGCUGCGAAGGCAUCUUCAGCAGCUGGAAAGAAUUUCGGUCAGGGAUGAGCUCGCGGCCUAUCAGCUUGUUGGUGAGGUAAUGGCUCACCAAGGCGUCGACGGGUAGCCGGCCUGAGAGGGUGACCGGCCACACUGGGACUGAGACACGGCCCAGACUCCUACGGGAGGCAGCAGUGGGGAAUAUUGCUCAAUGGGCGAAAGCCUGAUGCAGCAACGCCGCGUGAGGGACGACGGCCUUCGGGUUGUAAACCUCUUUUAGCAGGGAAGAAGCGAAAGUGACGGUACCUGCAGAAAAAGCGCCGGCUAACUACGUG